AACAUUAUUAUUAUUAUUAUUAUUAUUAUUACUUUCGAGUGCAACAAGAGAGGGUGGAGUAAAAUUCAGGCUUACAGAAAAUCUAAUGCGAUUGAAGGCUCAGAUGCGUUACGAGAACCUAAUUGAUUCGAUUUCGGAUUUCCAUGGACGGAACUCGUAAACAGCAGGUGUCGCUGAGAGGAGCAAGUGCGAAGGAGAUAACAAGAGAUGUGCUUCUUGAAAAGGUUAACAGAGAAAGAGAGCUUCGCAAUCAUGCUAAACGA